rfam:Gossypium arboreum cultivar AKA8401 contig_16303_3, whole genome shotgun sequence.
GGGCGCGAUCGUACCAGUACUAAUGCAUCGGAUCCCAUCAGAACUCUGCAGUUAAGCGUACCUGGGCGAGAGUAGUACUGGGAUGGGUGACCUCCUGGGAAUUCCUCGUGUUGCACCCU